ensembl:lncRNA
GGCAGACUGGUGUGUAAUUGCAUGUCAAAAUCUCAACUGUCUUUGAUAGAAAACUGUGGCACUGGAGCACAGACAGGACAUGUACAAGCAAUAAGCCUUCUAUAUUUGCAUCUCAUUUAAAUAAAUCAAUGAACAUUAUAAUAAAUAAAUCCCAGCAUUCUAUAUGCAUUUAAAGUUUGUGUAAAACUAUGCCCUAAAUCCAUUCAGUUGAUGAUAUCAUAAUAAUAGACCUGGGUGCAACAAAGCAUGUAGAACACUGUAAAAACUGUGGACAAUAUAGCUGAAUAUAUACAGUACAGGAGUGGUUGAGAAUAUUUAGUUUACUUGCUACAGUACCACUCUUUUUGCCACAAACUUCCAGCCAGCCAAUUAGAAUAGAACUUGAUAGUUUGAAAAACACCAUUUUAGUGUUGGAUACGCAUCAGAUGCGACUCCAGAUGUGCCAAAUGUCCUCUUCCGAAUCACCAGUAAAUCCACUCCUCCCUCUGCUGAUCAUAAGAAUGAGAAGCUGUGACAACAUGACCACAGGGGCUACAACAAGCCACAGCAAUUUGGAAUGGUGCGCACCACUUUGUUCUGCAGCCUGCAGCGGUGGAAGAAGAAUGUUUGACUGAUUCGCAAGGCUCAUUCCGACUCUGUUGUUGCGGAUGGAAGAGAGGCGCAGGGAUGGAUAGAUACGAAGAACAGGAAAGACAGAGGAGGACGUUAAUUGUAACUGCACUUCACCUGUACUUCAAAGCUUUUAACACAGUCAGCAGUAGGACAGUCAUCUGUCCGGGAGGCUCAUAUCUCUAAAUUGCAUUUCUUAUAAUUGUCCCUUGAAUACUGUUGUGAUUAUGCUUUUGAAAUACAUAGCUCUUUCUCGUUCUUUCUCUCAUAAGAUAGCUGGCCUGUGUUGGGCAACUUUGUGUUUGCAGUCUAAUUUCACCCACCCGGUUCUCAUUCUGCAGUGUCCUGAUUCUUUAUAUAUAUCUCUGCAUGACAAUUAGGAAUUUAACAAGCACAAUAUGUAAUACAUU